UGUUCUCAAAUGGUCCAAGCAGAUGGUCUUUGGCCUGGCAUGGAGGAGACAGCAGGAACUUCUGCACAUGGUCAAAGCAAGCCAAGUACAGACACAGAUCUGAUCCAGGCUUAUCUCGGCAUUCAGCCCUCAGAUUACAGCAGGCAUUUUUAUCCUGAAGGUAUUUAACCUGUCCUAUUUCUCGAGCCUCCUGUAGACCAGACUGCCGCAAGACCUGGAAGACCAUUCCAGACUGGAGCAAGGCAGCUCUGGCAUCCAUUCCUCCUCUGUGCUCAGCCAUUAAUGUGAUUCAACUACUUUCUGCUCCUGCUGUUACCACUUCCACAGUUAUAAAUAAAUCAAUUCACUCCUACUCUCCCCCACUCCCAUUCUCAGUUGUCCAAAAAAGCCAAAAUAAAUUAAAAAGGGGUUUGGACUUAACACCACCAGCUUUCCUGUUAGUAGCUUGCAUAUGGCAGAUCAGCAGAUCAUG